rnacentral:rRNA from 1 species
AGAGUUUGAUUCUGGCUCAGGACGAACGCUGGCGGCGUGCUUAACACAUGCAAGUCGAACGGUAAGGCCCUUCGGGGUACACGAGUGGCGAACGGGUGAGUAACACGUGGGUGAUCUGCCCUGCACUUUGGGAUAAGCCUGGGAAACUGGGUCUAAUACCGAAUAUGACCAUGGACUUCACGGUUUGUGGUGGAAAGCUUUUGCGGUGUGGGAUGGGCCCGCGGCCUAUCAGCUUGUUGGUGGGGUAAUGGCCUACCAAGGCGACGACGGGUAGCCGACCUGAGAGGGUGAUCGGCCACACUGGGACUGAGACACGGCCCAGACUCCUACGGGAGGCAGCAGUGGGGAAUAUUGCACAAUGGGCGCAAGCCUGAUGCAGCGACGCCGCGUGAGGGAUGACGGCCUUCGGGUUGUAAACCUCUUUCGCCAGGGACGAAGCGCAAGUGACGGUACCUGGAGAAGAAGCACCGGCCAACUACGUGCCAGCAGCCGCGGUAAUACGUAGGGUGCGAGCGUUGUCCGGAAUUACUGGGCGUAAAGAGCUCGUAGGUGGUUUGUCGCGUUGUUCGUGAAAACUCACAGCUUAACUGUGGGCGUGCGGGCGAUACGGGCAGACUGGAGUACUGCAGGGGAGACUGGAAUUCCUGGUGUAGCGGUGGAAUGCGCAGAUAUCAGGAGGAACACCGGUGGCGAAGGCGGGUCUCUGGGCAGUAACUGACGCUGAGGAGCGAAAGCGUGGGGAGCGAACAGGAUUAGAUACCCUGGUAGUCCACGCCGUAAACGGUGGGUACUAGGUGUGGGUUUCCUUCCUUGGGAUCCGUGCCGUAGCUAACGCAUUAAGUACCCCGCCUGGGGAGUACGGCCGCAAGGCUAAAACUCAAAGAAAUUGACGGGGGCCCGCACAAGCGGCGGAGCAUGUGGAUUAAUUCGAUGCAACGCGAAGAACCUUACCUGGGUUUGACAUGCACAGGACGACUGCAGAGAUGUGGUUUCCCUUGUGGCCUGUGUGCAGGUGGUGCAUGGCUGUCGUCAGCUCGUGUCGUGAGAUGUUGGGUUAAGUCCCGCAACGAGCGCAACCCUU